rnacentral:tRNA from 1 species
GCGUGAGGUCGGAAGUUCAAGUCUUCCCAGGCCCACCACUUUUCAUCGAGUGAGCAUUCGUCUUCUGGUACGGGGCCAUAGCUCAGCUGGGAGAGCGCGUGCUUUGCAAGCAUGAGGUCGUCGGUUCGAUCCCGUCUGGCUCCACCAGAUGGUUUGAUCACCGAGGUCAUGCACCGUCGUCCGCGAAACAUCACUUCGCAUCCUGCCAGUCUGGAUAGACGGCAGGUUGCGUGAUUUCUGACAUCGUAAAGAGGAGAUCGAUCCGAGUUGGGUCGUGCAGCAGGUUGUUGCGCGUAUCCUUCAUUAUCUCCGGAUCAUUUUCGGCGCUCGCAGGCCGACCGCAAGGUUGGCUCUCGAGUUGUAAAAUGAUCCUUUUAGCGAAGCUUGACCGCCUCGCUAUCGGAACGAUCUUACGAAGCAAGCUGGUCUUUCUAGUCAAUGUCCGGCUGUACGUAGCGUUCAUCGAGGGCGCGCGCCGCAAGGCAAUCGUACAGACAACAUUCUGCCGAGUGUGUGGACAUUGAUAAUGAGAGC